AAUGGGAGCAAUCCUGAACCAGCAAUGCCGCGUGUGGGAUGAAGGCGCUUCGCGUCGUAAACCACUGUCGGACGGGACGAAAAGAGCUAUAAAGCUCCGAGACGGUACCGUCAAAGGAAGGAUCGGCUAACUACGUGCCAGCAGCCGCGGUAAUACGUAGGAUCCAAGCGUUGUCCGGAUUUACUGGGUAUAAAGGGUGCGUAGGCGGUCUUGUGCGUCAGAGGUGAAAUAUCCGGGCUUAACCCGGAGGGUGCCUUUGAUACGGCAGGACUUGAGUACGAGAGAGGAUGAUGGAAUUCCUGGUGUAGCGGUGAAAUGCGUAGAUAUCAGGAGGAACACCGGUGGCGAAGGCGGUCAUCUGGCUCGUAACUGACGCUGAGGCACGAAAGCGUGGGGAUCAAA
rnacentral:rRNA from 1 species